rnacentral:rRNA from 1 species
CUACGGGUCGCUGCAGUAAGGAAUAUUGCGCAAUGGAGGCAACUCUGACGCAGCCAUGCCGCGUGCAGGAAGAAGGCCUUAUGGGUCGUAAACUGCUUUUAUUUAGGAAUAAACCCCCGAACGUGUUCGGGGCUGAAGGUACUAAACGAAUAAGCACCGGCUAACUCCGUGCCAGCAGCCGCGGUAAUACGGAGGGUGCAAGCGUUAUCUGGAUUUAUUGGGUUUAAAGGGUGCGCAGGCGGGCUAUUAAGUCAGUGGUGAAAUCCCGGGGCUCAACUCCGGAACUGCCAUUGAUACUGAUAGUCUUGAGUUUGGUUGAAGUGGGCGGAAUGUAGCAUGUAGCGGUGAAAUGCAUAGAUAUGCUACAGAACACCAAUCGCGAAGGCAGCUCACUAAGCCAAAACUGACGCUCAUGCACGAAAGCGUGGGGAUCAAACAGGAUUAGAUACCCCGGUAGUC